CACACAAUAUCGUAUUUCACUUGUGUGUGAUCCAUGUCGAACCUCCAGGUCCCAUGGGCAAGUCUCUGCCAUUCACCAACAACAACUCUCACCAGUCGCCCCAUUGCUUGUACUUGAACAAGCAAGUUGUUUCCUGAACAAAAAGACAGAACACAUAAUGUUAAUCUCUACUUUGUAACAGCGAAUGCAACCGUCUAUUAAUCAUCAAAGAGUUGUUUACUGAACACAAAGACAUAACAAGUCUAUAUAGAUGAAUAUAUGACAAUAAUAUACAUACCUCUCCUCUAAGAGAUAACGAACACUGUCAAACGAGUUCCUAACCUCUAAACUCUCAAUCACAGUUUUUGUUAUCACUUUGUCUCUCACAC
rnacentral:lncRNA from 1 species